UACGGAGGGUGCAAGCGUUAUCCGGAAUCAUUGGGUUUAAAGGGUCCGUAGGCGGUUUGGUAAGUCAGUGGUGAAAGCCCAUCGCUCAACGGUGGAACGGCCAUUGAUACUGCCAGACUUGAAUUAUUAGGAAGUAACUAGAAUAUGUAGUGUAACGGUGAAAUGCUUAGAGAUUACAUGGAAUACCAAUUGCGAAGGCAGGUUACUACUAAUGGAUUGACGCUGAUGGACGAAAGCGUGGGUAGCGAGCAGG
rnacentral:rRNA from 1 species